rnacentral:rRNA from 1 species
CCAGUUCGGAUUGUAGUCUGCAACCCGACUACAUGAAGCUGGAAUCGCUAGUAAUCGCGGAUCAGAAUGCCGCGGUGAAUACGUUCCCGGGUCUUGUACACACCGCCCGUCACACCAUGGGAGUCGGAAAUGCCCGAAGUCUGUGACCCAACCUUAGGGAGGGAGCAGCCGAAGGCAGGUCGGAUGACUGGGGUGAAGUCGUAACAAGGUAGC